rnacentral:rRNA from 1 species
GCGGCGGACGGGUGAGUAACACGUGGAUAACCUACCUAUAAGACUGGGAUAACUUCGGGAAACCGGAGCUAAUACCGGAUAACAUAUUGAACCGCAUGGUUCAAUAGUGAAAGGCGGCUUUGCUGUCACUUAUAGAUGGAUCCGCGCCGUAUUAGCUAGUUGGUAAGGUAACGGCUUACCAAGGCAACGAUACGUAGCCGACCUGAGAGGGUGAUCGGCCACACUGGAACUGAGACACGGUCCAGACUCCUACGGGAGGCAGCAGUAGGGAAUCUUCCGCAAUGGGCGAAAGCCUGACGGAGCAACGCCGCGUGAGUGAUGAAGGUCUUCGGAUCGUAAAACUCUGUUAUCAGGGAAGAACAAAUGUGUAAGUAACUGUGCACAUCUUGACGGUACCUGAUCAGAAAGCCACGGCUAACUACGUGCCAGCAGCCGCGGUAAUACGUAGGUGGCAAGCGUUAUCCGGAAUUAUUGGGCGUAAAGCGCGCGUAGGCGGUUUUUUAAGUCUGAUGUGAAAGCCCACGGCUCAACCGUGGAGGGUCAUUGGAAACUGGAAAACUUGAGGCAGAAGAGAAA